rnacentral:lncRNA from 1 species
CAAGAGUCUGAUGGCUGAUAAUGUAUAACAGGAUUUUAUCAUUCAAGCAACAUCUUAGAAGCCUAGGAUAAGUGCUAAUGUAUGAAGGAAGCCUUACAUAUAAAUAGCAAUUACAGCAAUUCCAUACAGGAUAGAACUCUUACACGUGGUCAUGAUAUGGGAGUGAUGUAAUCAAGAAAUUUAAAACACAUGGAAUUAAAUAUUGUGUAUAUUUUUUCAACCACA